UGGGGAAUUUUGGACAAUGGGCGAAAGCCUGAUCCAGCAAUGCCGCGUGUGUGAAGAAGGCCUUCGGGUUGUAAAGCACUUUUGUCCGGAAAGAAAUCCUUGGCUCUAAUACAGUCGGGGGAUGACGGUACCGGAAGAAUAAGCACCGGCUAACUACGUGCCAGCAGCCGCGGUAAUACGUAGGGUGCAAGCGUUAAUCGGAAUUACUGGGCGUAAAGCGUGCGCAGGCGGUUUGCUAAGACCGAUGUGAAAUCCCCGGGCUCAACCUGGGAACUGCAUUGGUGACUGGCAGGCUAGAGUAUGGCAGAGGGGGGUAGAAUUCCACGUGUAGCAGUGAAAUGCGUAGAGAUGUGGAGGAAUACCGAUGGCGAAGGCAGCCCCCUGGGCCAAUACUGACGCUCAUGCACGAAAAGCGUGGGGAGCAAACAGGAUUAGAUACCCUGGUAGUCCACGCCCUAAACGAUGUCAACUAGUUGUUGGGGAUUCAUUUCCUUAGUAACGUAGCUAACGCGUGAAGUUGACCGCCUGGGGAGUACGGUCGCAAGAUUAAAACUCAAAGGAAUUGACGGGGUCAUAGCUGUUUCCU
rnacentral:rRNA from 1 species